AAGCUAUUAAAUGUUCCCUUUUCACUGUAUAUAUAAUUAUCUUAAAAUUUUCAAAUGGCUUGAUCAGUAAUAUUUUUUUCAAAUCCUGGAGUAGCAAAGCAAGUUGUAAAAGUGUUAGAAGAAAAGUCCCACAAGGAACUUACCAUUUAAAUCCUAUGUACUGCGAUUCUAACUGAUGGCAUGACCAUUAGAAAACACUUGGACUGGGUUCCCAAAAACAGAGAUGGUUAUAGGGUUCGUAAAUUUCGGAGCUGGAUCCCUAAAUAUAUAGUGAUCACCUGUUGCAGAGGCUACAGAAACUAUUGUGGUAAUGGCAGUAGGUUAAACUGGACGUCCGAAGGUGCCAUUGGCAUUUUUUUUCAUUCAGUAAUUAAGUGCAAUAUUUAACAUGCACAUGACAUUUACUGUAUCACAGAUCGACCUGUCAUUAAAAAAUCAUUCUUAAGAAUACAUUCAUUCAGUAUAGAAGGAGAAACAGAAGUAGAUGUGGAGGUAGGAAGAAAAGACGUGAAGAAAAAGAGUGAAGGGAGAAUAGAAUUAGUGUGGAUAUGAGCUUCCACUGCAUUUGUGUUUAUAUUAAUAGUUGAUUGUAUGGUUUCCCCAAGCAGCUCUUGUUUAAGAUAUUAUAUGGCACUCAGGGGUUUUUGUCCCUAAACUUUUUAAGAUAAGAUUACUUUAUGUCGCCAUGAUAUAGCCUAAAUAAUUAUUUGCUGGCAUGACAUUAAACACAAGCAAACAACAAACCCUCACCUCACACACACUCCUCUCAAGUUUACUCAGGGGAGAAGGGUGCAAUAUGAGUGGUAUGUGGUAACAAUAUUUCAAGUCAUCUUCCUCUUCCUUUAUGGAAGUGUGUGAAUGCAAGAAAAUUAAAAUAUCUAAUAGCAGGUUGCACUUCUGCUAAACAAAACUAGUAAAUGAAUAUAACAUUUAGGAAACAGAGAAUUGCCCAUACACCAUAUUUAAUAAAAAUUCCAGUCUAUGAAGAUCUUUACAUCAUACUCAGCCAAAUAUUAGAACAUUACCCUAUAAACAGCCUUCCACUUUAUUCCAAUGAUUCUGGCAGUAAACAUACACCAGGCAUGGCACUGUACCUACCAAAAUCAGCACAUGCAGUUUGUUGGGAACUGUACAGAAAACAAAUUAUGUGUAACACAUAGUACAAAUAUUUCACAGAAUCAUGCAACCUUUGCAAUCGCUUUCGUUACAUCACAUAUUAUCAUUUGAGAUAACCACACUGAUUUCAUACAUGAUUGAGCCAAAAUGCUAGGAGUACAAACCUAAGGACAAAAUUUAACUUGAUGAAAUCAAAUUAGAACUGGAAAUAAAUUAUUGCGUGACAGUAAUACCAUCAUUUUUGUUUUAGUUGAACAUUAAAUGUUAAAAAUUUGCAGUGUAAAAAUGUAAGGUGAGCAGGUGUAAAGUACAAAUUAGAUCUAAUUUCUACAUGCCAAGAUUGUUGCACGUACACAUCUAAAUGUACUAAUACUGCUGCAGCACAUAGCUGUAGUCUAUACAGAACCAAUAACUAGGCCAUGAAAAAGUAAGUCAGAUAAAUGUCUUAACUAAAAUUUCCUAGAUGGAUCAAUACAGCUAAAAUACCAUAUUGGCUAUAAAUGAGGUUUGGUCAGAAAAUUUGUUUGGACAAUUGUGUGUGUCUUGAUUCUUUUGCAAUUACUGUAACUCUGUUUGAUCUACUAGCCACUAAUUUAUGUGCACUUUUUGUGCAGGAUGCAAAAUACUGAUCCAAAUCAUUUUCAGCCAACAGCAAAACAUCUCAUCUAAAGGUGGUGUGCACCGGGCAUGGGGCUGUGAAGGGAACCUGGCCGUGGUCAGUGGAUUUUUUCCUCCUUCUUUUCUUUUACUUUUAAGAAAAAUUUGAGGAACAUUCCUCAGUCUGGGGAUUUUUUUUUUCUAUGGUAUACUACAAGUCUGAUCCUUUACCAUCAUUUUUCCUAAUUUAAUAACCACUCACAUGUAAGUAUGCUCAAGUAGUGAUAUGGAUCCUAGUGCACUUGUCCUAGUAUUUUCAAUCCAUAUUACAUUACUGAAUCAAAUGUAGAUAUUGACAAUUGAAUGGUAAGCCUAUUAUGAUAUACUGGGAAAAUAAUUUACAAUUACAAGGGACCCUGAGAGGCUGUCUGCCCCGGGGCCUGUGCUGGCUCUCGGUGGCCCUGGAUGAAGGUGUGCAGAUACAUGUCAAAAGGUCCAGAAAGUACUAACUUUUCUUGUAAAUGUUAAGUUUUACUUAUACUAUAAUAUAUGCACAUAAACAAAAAAUAUUGCAUCAACAUAAGAAAUUUAAAAUAUAAAUUGCGAUGGUAUAUUCAUAACAGAAGCUUCUACUGUUCAUUAUAUCACAAAUCAAUGGAUCAAUUUUCAUCAGGAUGACUCAGUUUUCAGUACAGGCUGACUGAACAGUCUAGGAAGAUAAGGGAGUGAGAAGUUUCCCUGUUCACGCGUCUAUGAACCUUUAAAUUUGGUCUUUUAAAUUAUGGGCAUUUUAAUGACUGGGUCAAUGUAAAUGCAACUCACCCAGAAGAUUAUUUACAAUCAAGGUAAGGACAACAAUAAAUACACAUACUUACUUUACAGUGCCACAGCUGGAAGUUAUUUACAGACCAAUUCUUACCUUUAAUAUAAUAUUAGUACAGGUUGGAAAUCAUGCAGCUUGAAAUAUUGACGUAUUUGUUAUCAAACAUGCAACUUUUGUAGCCUUUGACAGUUGGUGAAUGGGUUGAAACUUGCUAUAUCUUUUUGCAGCAUCAAUGGCACUAAAACCACAUAAGGUGACUGAUAUAACUACAUGUGACAAGAGUUGUUCUCAUGAACAGCUGGAUUGUCAGAAAAGCUGCUUUGAGGGACAGUCUAUGUAAUACAUAGCAACUCCUUUAAAAUGAGCCUCAAUUCAACAAGCUGCUGAUUUAGGCAGUCUUAGAGGAUCAACACGCAUUUUGGUCUGAGAACAACUAGAUUUUGCAAGUUUGAAAACAACGAUACACUAAAUGCAUCCAGAUAUAUUUAUUAAUGAGAGCACUCUACAUCCACCAAAAUUUUAAUGUCAGUUUUUAAAAUUGCACUUUGAAAGAAAAGAAAAUAGGGAUAUUUUAAAAUUCUCAAAAAAUGAGAUGAAUAAUAUAUACAGCAAACUAGUCUUCAUCAUUGAAAGCACAUAAGCGCAAGUAUAUGAAGGUGCAGUUUCAACUGUUUAUCUCACCAACACCCCAACAUGCAAUUUGGGGAAAAAUCAAGGACCCCACAUAGGGAUCACUUAAGGUCCCUUGUGUAGCAAGAUAUGGGAUUGUUGGUAACAAAUUAACAGUACAAAUAUUUGAAAGAAAUGUAAACAAAAAGUUCUCACUAUAGUUAUAAACAGAGGCGCAUGUAUGCAUGUAUGCAGACUCGUACAUGAAUUUAGCAAGGAAACCAUGAUGGUAUCUGUCUAGGAAAAUAUGAAAAAUUGUAGAAACAAACAAUUUAAUAUUUAAGUUUGGAAGUCCUAUGGGAUGUCAAAGCCAUCAAGGGCGUAUCUGGCCUUUGCAUUGCUGGGACCUAGCUUACUACUUACUGUCAACACAGUUGGCAUUUGAUAAUGGCCCAGCACCUGACCCCGUCAUCCAGCUCUGCAGCCACCCAGGUAUCUUGGCAGGUGUGUUUGUGGUGGGGAAGGGGUAUGUAGAGGAGACCUUGCUGUCUACAGAACUGAUGGUAACUCAAGAACAUCUUCUCUUCUAUUUAGGUCUAUUAGCUAAGGAUUUUUGGAAUCUUAAGGUAGCUAUUCCUGUGGCCUCUUCACUAUUUUCCAUAUAGUUUGGGUCAUCUUGUUAGUUUGACAAACAAAUAUCAUGGUAAAAUUCCUUUUCUCAAGAUACUAAAGAUAACCUGACUACUUGAGUCUUCCCACCUCUCUGCAAUGCCUUCUUCAGGGUGAAGACUGGUUGGGUGGAGUGGUAGCAAUUUUAUCAAUGGGAAGCAGGCAGUGGAAUUAAAUUGGCAAGUAGGGUAAUCUCUGUAUAGUUCAGUGAGUCUGGUAAGUAUCCCAAAGAAGGAAUUUUAGAACAAAGUGAUAUUUUUAUCUUAAUUAUUUGAUACAUUCAUAUUCUACAAGCAAGAGUGAUGUCAUAGCUCACAAGCCCACAAUAUUUUCUUAUAAAUGUUGUCUGUGACUAGUUGAAUAUCUAAAGUCCAAGCCAUCUAAAGUAGUUAUCAAUGCUAAUAGACAAAUAAUCUUCAAUAAUAAAAACUACUAAAAACAAUAAAUAAAUAAACUUUAAAUUGCCAAGAUGAAUAAAAUUCACAACUAAUUGCUCUUAUGAAUAAUCUACGACAGUACAGGCUGCCCAACCAUCAGCAAAUAAAUUGUACAACAAUAGGCAUAAUGCGGGAUGGUCUUGUCACUGCUAAUAUGUGACUAUGCAUGAUAAAUGACUGCUAAUAUAGGCUGAUAAUCUGGAAUUAUGCAUAUCUUAAAGUAACAUCCACAUUUAUUCAUGCCUUUCAGACAGAUUAUAUUUUAAAAAAAAGUAGGUGGGACUAUGAACUUGUUUCUUAUAAAUAAAGGCAUAACAUGAAACAUUAGUACCUCCCUAAUAUUUCAUUAAUUACAAAAGUCUAAAAUAAUUUUUUUUUUUACAGUAUGCAGUUCAUUUUUUUGUUUUGUACAAAAUAAUACUAUUAAGGAAACAAAGCAGAUAUGUUUUUAUUAGUUUAUAGAGGUUCAAGCAUCUGUGUACUAAAUUUUGUUUUAAAUUUCAGAUCACUACAACAAUUACAGGCUCACCCAAGUCAGAUAUGAAAUUGUCCACAGUUUCUGUCCAUUUAACAGAACACAAAUCUGUAAUUUGUUACCAAAAUGCAUUGUAAGUUAUAUUAAUUUAUUCUUAGAGAAGCACACUCAGACUGGCUUCAACUUCUGAUGUUACUGGUGAUCACAUUAGUGCACAAACCCCACUUUUUCUGGUUGUUUUUAUAAAAAAAUCCUCAAAACAAUAAACAUUUAAAGCAUGAUAAACAUAUUAAAAAACUAAUUUCAAAAGCAAAAACCAUGGUAUACAUCACAGCAAAUAAUUAUUUAUCCAAAGUAAUGUUUGUGUGGGAAAAAAAGAGGCACCAUAAAAACAAUUUAGCUGUGGAGUUGAUCAUGCACUUUCAAAUCUUAUACUUUUUUUAAACCUUUUUCUCCUCUUGAAAGAGUACUACUUAUUCUGGUCAUUGAAAUUAUUUAGAAAUUUCAAUACCCAUAAAAAGGCUUCAAAAGCUAUACAUCAGACUGAACAGAAGAUGAAAUGCAAAACACUUAAUAACCAUACUAGACAAUAAAAUUGUAAUAAAUAACUUACCUUUCCUAAAAUGCCUUCCUUUAUCACAUGAAACCCCUAAAAAAAAUGUAUUCUGUGUAUCAAAGCCCUCAGGAUUUAAAUCUAUCCACUUAUGGACGUAAGGAAGGGCACUAUAUGCAGCACAGAUAAAACACAAAAACAACCUCAGCGGAACAUAACAAUCUGGUUGCAUUUUCUUAGAGCUCUGCGUUGCUUACAACUUUUAAAAACAUGACUAGUGUGACAAAAGCAGAAUUUAAGGACAAACAUGGUAUGUAGCAGUCUUAGAAUAUAGGUGAUUUGUUAAAGAAAGAUACUGGAAAUUUGCACAAAACACAGAUUUAACCUAAAUGAAUGGAAAAAAUAAAAAAAUGUGAUCAAUAAGCCAAAUAAUUCAUCAGUGUGCUUACCAUCUACAGUAAGCUGAAUCAUUCAUUUCACAAGCACUUGAGAUUUAAAUGCA